rfam:Schistosoma rodhaini strain Burundi genome assembly, scaffold: SROB_scaffold0009508
AUUCAGCUGAUGAGUCCCAAAUAAAAUGAAACUCGAGUCCUGACU